UACGUAGGGGCCUAGCGUUGUCCGGAAUUAUUGGGCGUAAAGAGCUCGUAGGCGGUUCGGCAAGUCGGAUGUGAAAUCUCCACGCUUAACGUGGAGGGGCCAUUCGAAACUGCUGUGACUCGAGUCCGGUAGGGGAGUGUGGAAUUCCCGGUGUAGCGGUGAAAUGCGCAGAUAUCGGGAGGAAGACCCGUGGCGAAGGCGGAUCUCUGGACGGCUAAAACUGACGCUGAGGCGCGAAGGCCAGGGGAGCAAAGCGGG
rnacentral:rRNA from 1 species